GGAAGACAAGAAAGCCAUCCGUUACUGCUCCUAUCAGCCUGCGGUGAAGCCUCCAGCGAGGGACACAACAAGUUCCCUCCUAAGUGCCAGCCAUGAUACUCAGCCUUGAGGAUACGGCAGUACCCAGGAAAACACUAUGGGUUUUGGCUCAGAUGGCGUGCCAUUCAACUGUCAACUUGCUAGCAGCGCUAAGAAAGGUGUUCCCUCCUGCCUGGCUUCUCUCUCUCCCUCCCUAUCCCAAAUCCAACUUGGUCCUUAAGCCAUAUUCCUUUACACCUGCUGUGUUGUCGAUCCAACUUCACAUGUCAUUUCUGAUUCCUGUUUUCUUUCCUACCAUCUUUUCAAGAACCUUUUGGAAAGGUCUUCUAUGGCAAAAUGGUAGAUUCCAAAUAAAGAUGACAUGGAGCUAAAGCUA